AGGAAACUGGGGUGCAAAUUUAGCAGCUCAGUGGAGGAGACCCCAGAACUGAAGGCUUGGCGCCUGGGUCCCUGCACCUGUUGAAGACCCUGCAAGUAAGUGCUGCCUCUAGUGACCACCGGAAGCAGACAGGGAGAAGCCCACCCUUUACCUCCAGGAUUCAGCCUCCUUGUCCUUUGGUCUGUGGGCGGAGCCUUUGAUGUAAGCGGACAAAAACCACAAUGUGGUGUACGGAGGCCCCGCCCAGCACCUCAAGCGCAGUGCUGAAGGGCAGAUUGAAAGCUGAGGGGUCUUUCCAGGGGUGUUAGUCUUGUCGCUAUGUCACAGCACUGAAAGAAACUCUACCGCGUCUAAACUCAGCUCUAGCUCCACUUCCUGAGCCUCUAAUUCUUCCUUGAAGUCCCUAAAGGACAGUUAUCUCUGGAAAUAGAUUGAAAGUGAUUCUAUUCUCUGUACUCUGAAGUCCCCAAGAGUGAAUCUAGGGAUGUCCUUGCUGAUGCCACCAGAAGCGCCCAUCCGUCGAUGCGACUCUGCGGUGGUGAGGCCUGUAAUCCUUGCAUGGGGAUCAGGAGAGGUGGCCUGAAAGGAGGGAGAAAGUUCCAGGAAAUGAGAUUGCUGAUCCCUGUGUUAAAUGGCAGAACAAGUUGGUGUGGGGUAAGAAGUAGCAAUCUCCGCUCAGGUGGGCUUAGCUCGCACCUUCUGAAGACCCAAGCACCCACAUGAUACAAGAGCCUCUGUUGAACUGCAUCUUCUGUUUCCCGCCGAGAGAGUCUAUAUUGCUUAAGCUGAAUUCAAUACUAGAUGAUCAAAUCAAA